rnacentral:rRNA from 1 species
CCCUUAGAUGUUCUGGGCCGCACACGCGCUACACUGAAGGAGGCAGCGUGUACUCCUGAUUCGAAAGAAUUGGGUAACCCCCUAAUCUCUUUCGUGCUGGGGAUUGAGGUUUGCAAUUAUCCUUCAUGAACGAGGAAUUCCCAGUAAGUGCGAGUCAUUAUCUCGCGCUGACUACGUCCCUGCCCUUUGUACACACCGCCCGUCGCUACUACCGAUUGAAUGAUUUAGUGAGGACUUCGGACUGAGUCCAAUGCGGCUUUCGGGCUGCGUUGGUAUUUCGGAAAGAUGUCCAAACUGUAUCAUUUAGAGGAAGUAAAAGUCGUAACA